rnacentral:SRP_RNA from 4 species
GGAGGGGCCCCACGCAAAGGGAAGUUGUUAACCUGGUCAGGCCGGAAGGUGCAGCCAUACGCAGCGUACCCUUGUGCAGUGGAUUCGCCUCUCUCGG